UAGCAGCAGUGCCGGGUGGCGUGUGGACGUGCAGUUAGCGGUGUUUCUCGAGUGGCGGCAGUUCUCACUACAGCGCCAGGACGAGUCCGGUUCGUGUUCGUCCGCGGUGAUCUCUCUCAUCUCGCUCGGCUGAGGGAAAUCGGGCUGAAGCGACUGAGUCCGCGAUGGAGAGAGAAAAGGAACAGUUUCAUAAGCUCUUUAUUGGUGGCUUAAGUUUUGAAACAACAGAAGAAAGUCUGAGGAACUACUACGAGCAAUGGGGAAAACUGACAGACUGUGUGGUUAUGAUGGAUCCUGCAAGCAAACGAUCAAGAGGAUUUGGUUUUGUAACCUUCUCUUCCAUGGCUGAGGUUGAUGCUGCCAUGGCUGCAAGACCUCAUUCAAUUGAUGGGAGAGUGGUUGAACCAAAACGUGCUGUAGCAAGAGAGGAGUCCGUCAAACCAGGGGCUCAUGUGACUGUGAAGAAACUGUUUGUUGGUGUAAUUAAAGAAGAUACUGAGGAGCAUCAUCUUAGAGAUUACUUUGAAGAAUAUGGAAAGAUUGAUACCAUUGAGAUAAUUACUGAUAGGCAGUCUGGGAAAAAAAGAGGCUUUGGUUUUGUUACUUUUGAUGACCAUGAUCCUGUGGAUAAAAUUGUGUUGCAAAAAUACCACACAAUUAAUGGUCAUAAUGCUGAAGUAAGAAAGGCCUUGUCUAGACAAGAAAUGCAGGAAGUCCAAAGUUCAAGGAGUGGAAGAGGAGGGAACUUUGGUUUUAGGGAUUCACGUGGUGGUGGUUGGAAUUUUGGACCAGGACCAGGAAGUAACUUUAGAGGAGGAUCUGAUGGAUAUGGAAGUGGACAUGGAUUUGGCGAUGGCUAUGAUGGGUAUGGAGGAGGACCUGGAGGUGGAAAUUUUGGAGGGAGCCCUGGUUAUGGAGGAGAAAGAGGAGGUUAUGGUGGUGGAAGACCUGGAUAUGGAAACCAGGGUGGGGGAUAUGGAGGCGGUUAUGACAAUUAUGGAGGAGAAAAUUAUGGAAGUGGAAAUUAUAAUGAUUUUGGAAAUUAUAACCAGCAACCUUCUAACUAUGGUCCAAUGAAGAGUGGAAACUUUGUUGGUAGCAGGAAUAUGGGGGGACCAUAUGGUGGAGGAAAUUAUGGUCCAGGAGGCAGUGGAGGAAGUGGGGGUUAUGGUGGAAGGAGCCGAUACUGAGCUUCUUCCUAUUUGCCAUGGGCUUCACUGUAUAAAUAGGCGAGGAUGAGAGCCCAGAGGUAACAGAACAGCUUCAGGUUAUCGAAAUAACAAUGUUAAGGAAACUCUUAUCUCAGUCAUGCAUAAAUAUGCAGUGAUAUGGCAAAAGACACCAGAGCAGAUGCAGAGAGCCAUUUUGUGAAUGGAUUGGAUUAUUUAAUAACAUUACCUUACUGUGGAGGAAGGAUUGUAAAAAUGCCUUUGAGACAGUUUCUUAGCUUUUUAAUUGUUGUUUCUUUCUAGUGGUCUUUGUAAGAGUGUAGAAGCAUUCCUUCUUUGAUAAUGUUAAAUUUGU